UGCAUCUACUAAACUUGUAAUUCUAUCAACAACAAAAAAGAGAGAGAGAGAUAAGAUCGCUCUGGCAUGACUUGUUUUUGAGAAAUCCAUGUUGACUUUUAGUGAUCACAGCAUACAGACUUCUUUCUUAAUGAUCUGCUCCAUAAUCUUCCCUGGUAUUGAUGUCAGUAGGAGUUUUGCAUGCUACUGGCAUUGUGGUGUUAACUUCAAUUCCUAGAAGAAGCUCCGAUGUAAGGACUAAUGACACUGGAGCACCAAACUGGUGCAGAUUAUGGCCUAUUAUAAGAUGUCUUCAUACUCAGCAAACACCAGGGUUUGGGAAAGUUACGUUUUUGGACUUCGUCCUUUAACUCUUAAAACUAUUUGCAAGUCCAUUGCAUGGAUAGCUUAUGAUCAUAUCUUUGUUUUUUCUGUGGCCCCUAUUGGAAACAUUUUUUACAAAAUGGCUUUCUGGUUUCAGAAGAGGAAGAAAGAUAAGUUGAAGAAAAAGAAAGAAAAGAAAAAAAAGAAAGACAAGUCUGGCCCAGUCCAGCUUUCUAAGUACUUGAAAGAUAAAAGGAAGAAUCAAAACUACAGUAUGAUCACAGGGAAAAAAAUUAAGAUGAAAAUAAAGAAGAGUAAAAAGGAUAAAGAGCGUGAUCGAAACCGUGCUGAACUUCUUGAUUUCUUGAACUCCGCCUUGUAA
rnacentral:lncRNA from 11 species